ACCAGCUGGCUGCAACUGUUUAUUAAAAACACAGCACUGUGCAAACACGAAAGUGGACGUAUACGGUGUGACGCCUGCCCGGUGCUGGAAGGUUAAUUGAUGGGGUUAGCCGUAAGGCGAAGCUCCUGAUCGAAGCCCCAGUAAACGGCGGCCGUAACUAUAACGGUCCUAAGGUAGCGAAAUUCCUUGUCGGGUAAGUUCCGACCUGCACGAAUGGCGUAAUGAUGGCCAGGCUGUCUCCACCCGAGACUCAGUGAAAUUGAACUCGCUGUGAAGAUGCAGUGUACCCGCGGCAAGACGGAAAGACCCCGUGAACCUUUACUAUAGCUUGACACUGAACAUUGAGCCUUGAUGUGUAGGAUAGGUGGGAGGCUUUGAAGUGUGGACGCCAGUCUGCAUGGAGCCAACCUUGAAAUACCACCCUUUAACGUUUGAUGUUCUAACCUAGGCCCAUAAACUGGGUCGGGGACCGUGUCUGGUGGGUAGUUUGACUGGGGCGGUCUCCUCCUAAAGAGUAACGGAGGAGCACGAAGGUUGGCUAAGCAUGGUCGGACAUCAUGCGGUUAGUGCAAAGGCAUAAGCCAGCUUGACUGCGAGAGUGACGGCUCGAGCAGGUACGAAAGUAGGUCUUAGUGAUCCGGUGGUUCUGAAUGGAAGGGCCAUCGCUCAACGGAUAAAAGGUACUCCGGGGAUAACAGGCUGAUACCGCCCAAGAGUUCAUAUCGACGGCGGUGUUUGGCACCUCGAUGUCGGCUCAUCACAUCCUGGGGCUGAAGUAGGUCCCAAGGGUAUGGCUGUUCGCCAUUUAAAGUGGUACGCGAGCUGGGUUUAGAACGUCGUGAGACAGUUCGGUCCCUAUCUGCCGUGGGCGUUGGAAGAUUGAGAGGGGUUGCUCCUAGUACGAGAGGACCGGAGUGAACGCACCACUGGUGUUCGGGUUGUCAUGCCAAUGGCAUUGCCCGGUAGCUAAGUGCGGAAGAGAUAACCGCUGAAAGCAUCUAAGCGGGAAACUUGCCUC
rnacentral:rRNA from 1 species